GAUGAACGCUGGCGGCGUGCCUAAUACAUGCAAGUCGAGCGAACAGACGAGGAGCUUGCUCCUCUGACGUUAGCGGCGGACGGGUGAGUAACACGUGGAUAACCUACCUAUAAGACUGGGAUAACUUCGGGAAACCGGAGCUAAUACCGGAUAAUAUAUUGAACCGCAUGGUUCAAUAGUGAAAGACGGUUUUGCUGUCACUUAUAGAUGUAUCCGCGCCGCAUUAGCUAGUUGGUAAGGUAACGGCUUACCAAGGCAACGAUGCGUAGCCGACCUGGGAGGGGGAUCGGCCACACUGGAAGUGAGACACGGUCCAGGCUCCUACGGGAGGCAGCAGUAGGGAAGCGUCCGCAAUGGGCGAAAGCCUGAAGGAGCAACGCCGCGUGAGUGAUGAAGGGCUUCGGAUCGGAAAACGCUGUUAUUAGGGAAGAACAAAUGUGUAAGUAACGAUGCACGUCUUGACGGUACCUAAUCAGAAAGCCACGGCUAACUACGU
rnacentral:rRNA from 1 species